rnacentral:rRNA from 1 species
AAGGGCAGAGGAGGGCUCGGGUUCAGGGACAUUCACGACUUCAAUAUUGCCAUGCUAGCCCGUCAAGUGUGGCGACUGAUCCAACAACCGGAGAGCUUAUGUGCACAGCUCAUGAAGGCCCAAUACUAUCCAAACUGCACUAUGUUGGAGGUGGGCCAGAAUGCAAAUAUGUCCUAUGCAUGGCGAAGCAUCACUCAUGGUAUUGAGCUGGUGAAGCAAGGUGCGGGAAGGGGAGAAGCCCAUGGAGGCCGACCAUUUCGCUUUUAG